GGACGAACGCUGGCGGCGUGCUUACCACAUGCAAGUCGAACGGAAAGGCCCUGCUUUUGUGGGGUGCUCGAGUGGCGAACGGGUGAGUAACACGUGAGUAACCUGCCCUUGACUUUGGGAUAACUUCAGGAAACUGGGGCUAAUACCGGAUAGGAGCUCCUGCUGCAUGGUGGGGGUUGGAAAGUUUCGGCGGUUGGGGAUGGACUCGCGGCUUAUCAGCUUGUUGGUGGGGUAGUGGCUUACCAAGGCUUUGACGGGUAGCCGGCCUGAGAGGGUGACCGGCCACAUUGGGACUGAGAUACGGCCCAGACUCCUACGGGAGGCAGCAGUGGGGAAUAUUGCACAAUGGGCGGAAGCCUGACGCAGCAACGCCGCGUGCGGGAUGACGGCCUUCGGGUUGUAAACCGCUUUCGCCUGUGACGAAGCGUGAGUGACGGUAAUGGGUAAAGAAGCACCGGCUAACUACGUG
rnacentral:rRNA from 1 species